GACGAACGCUGGCGGCGUGCUUAACACAUGCAAGUCGAACGGAAAGGCCUGCUUUCCCUUGUGGAUUGCGGGUACUCGAGUGGCGAACGGGUGAGUAACACGUGAGUGAUCUGCCCCCAACUUGGGUAUAAGCCUGGGAAACUGGGUCUAAUUCCCGAUAGGACUGCAGGGUGGUGCCUGUGGUGGAAAACGAUUUUCUAGUGGUUGGGGAUGAGCUCGCGGCCUAUCAGCUUGUUGGUGGGGUAAUGGCCUACCAAGGCGGCGACGGGUAGCCGGCUUGAGAGGGUGGACGGCCACAUUGGGACUGAGAUACGGCCCAGACUCCUACGGGAGGCAGCAGUGGGGAAUAUUGCACAAUGGGCGGAAGCCUGAUGCAGCGACGCCGCGUGGGGGAUGACGGCCUUCGGGUUGUAACCUCCUUUCGACCGCGAGGAAGCCACCUGGUUGGAAGGGUGGUGACGGUAGUGGUAGAAGAAGCACCGGCUAACUACGUG
rnacentral:rRNA from 1 species